rnacentral:rRNA from 1 species
CCUAUCAGGAAAUUCAAGAGCGUAUGGUGGAUGCCUUGGCUCUAAAAGGCGAUGAAGGACGCGGCUUGGCUGCGAUAAGCUUCGGGGAGGUGCCUAGCAACCUUUGAUCCGGAGAUGUCCGAAUGGGGAAACCUCAUUGAUUUAAUCAAUGACCGAAUCAGAACAAAGUUCAGUUUUCUGGGAGCGUCCCAGUACUAGAAGCGAAGCUUCAGUAUGGGACAGCCCCGAACCGAGCUUUGCUCUGGUUCGGGGCGCACCCAGGGAAGUAAAACAUUUCAUUACCUGGAGGAAAAGAAAACAAUCCCGCUUUUUGCGGGAAGCAUUUCCUUAGUAGCGGCGAGCGAAAAGGAAAAAGCCCAAACCCAGCCGUACUUUUGGGGAGUAGAAAUUUCUAUUUCUCAAAAGUACAGCUGGGGGUUGUAAGGCAACAAUAUCCCUCACAUGCGAGAUCUUUAAAGUCGGCUGUAAAAAAAUUAUUUCACGACAUAGAGAUUUGGCAUGUGAGGGAAGAAAGUUACAAAAUGUCUUGUUAAUCGAAUUGGCUGGAAAGCCAGACCCUAGAGGGUAAUGGUCCCGUAGAUAAAAAUAAGACAUCUUUUUUGUUGUUGUUCUUGAGUACUUCGAGACACGAAAAGCUCGGAGGAAUCUGCCGGAACUAACCGGUAAGGCUAAAUACUUUUAGAGACCGAUAGUGAACUAGUACCGUGAGGGAAAGGUGAAAAGCAGCCCGGUGAGGGCGGUGAAAUAGACCUGAAACCAUAUGCUUACAAGGAGUCGGAGCGGACAUCACAUUGUAUGUGAUGCCGCGGAAUUAAGAAGAAACCCGCCCGACACGCAAGACGAGCUUUGCGAGUCGUUGCGGGCGGGGAAUUAAGAAUCAAAGUUUGCAGAAAACUGUGAAGCAAUUUUCUGCUCAUGAUUCCUGAUUCCAUAUUCCUGAUUCUGCGGACAUCGCGCGCAGUGUGAUGUCCGUCACGGCGUGCCUAUUGAAGAAUGAGCCAACGAGUUCUAACGUCCGGCUUGCUUAAGGGGUUUACCCCCGGAAGCGCAGGGAAACCGAGUGUUAAUAGCGCGAAAAUUUUGUCAGACGUUAGAGACCCGAAGCCAAGUGAGCUUGCCAUGAGCAGGGUGAAUCCCGCCGAAAGGCGGGAGGAAGCCCGAACCGAUAUGUCGUGCAAUGCAUCCGGAUGACUUGUGGUAAGAAGUGAAAAGCUAAUCGAACUUGGUAAUAGCUGGUUCUCUCCGAAAGAGCUUUUGGGUUCGCGUCAAGUGUUUCCUAUGGGGGUAGAGCACUGGAAGAUUUGGACAGGGGGAAACCUCACCAAACCUAUCAAACUCCGAAUACCAUAGGUCAGAACUUGGCAGUUAGACUGCGGGGGCUAAGCUCCGUUGGUCAAAAGGGAAACAGCCCAGAUCUCAAGUUAAGGUCCCUAAAUUUACUCUAAGUGCGCUUAAGGCGGUGGAAUUUCUCUGACACUGAGGAGGUUGGCUUAGAAGCAGCCAUCCUUUAAAGAAAGCGUAACAGCUCACUCAGCUAGAGAAUUUGCGCCGAAGAUAAUCGGGGCUAAAGAGUAGUACCGAAACUGAGGAUUCGCCACACCUACUUUGACAUUGUGUCUGCGUGUUGUUUGUAGCUAUUUGUUACAGAGAACGGUAGAUAACCUAAUUGCAGUUUUUCAAAACUGUCAAUGACACAAUGCAACGAUGUCAAAGUAGGUGUGGCGAGUGGUAGGAGAGUAUUCGUAUCUGCUGUGAAGGUGAAGGGGUAACCCACACUGGAGCGAUGCGAAGUAAGAAUGUUGGCACAAGUAACCGCAAUCUCGGUGAGAUACCGAGACGCCGUAAGACCAAGGUUUCCUUGGCGAUGUAGAUCAGCCAAGGGUUAGUCGGUCCUAAGAGGAUGGCGAAAGCCGAACUUAAUGGACACAUGGUUAAUAUUCCAUGACCCCCUCGUUUUUCGAUGGAGUGACGGAGGAAAAAAGUGAAAUCACCUUAUUGGAUUGGUGUUGUUGGCAUGAGAGAUGUUUCCUAGGCAAAUCCGGGAGACUGAUUUGAUUCAAAUCUCGUGUGCAGACAAAAUUUUCCGCUUCGGCGGAAGAGAUUUUCGCGAAGAGCCUUCCUAGAAAAACUUCUAAGUCCACCUUCGGGUGGAAAAGGACGAGGGGACCGUACCGCAAACCGACACAGGUGGUCGAGUCGAGUAGACUAAGGCGAACGAGUGAGAAAUCCCCAAGGAACUCGGCAAAAAAGCAGCCGUAACCUCGGAAUAAGGCUUCCCCUCACAUGCAACAUUUGUAGUAUUUCGUAAUUAAAAUAAAACGCGAAAUAUUAAAAGUGUGGCAUGUGAGGGGUGCAACAAAAGUAUCUCUGGCAACUGUUUAUCAAAAACACAGCUCCCUGCGAACUCGCAAGAGGAUGUAUAGGGGGUGACGCCUGACCAAUGCCAGAAGGUCAAAUAGCGGCGUUUUGCGUGUCUUCGGAUAUGCAAGGUGACUGCUAUAAGCCCUGGUGAAUGUCGGCCGUAACUAUAACGGUCCUAAGGUACUGGGAUUUUCGGAAGAAGAUUUCAGUAGGACUGGGACUGUUAUAGCUAAAGAUAAAUAGUUGAUAUUGAAAUCAUUACGCAAAAAAUAAAACGCUACCUCUCUAUACAGUAAUGUAUAGAUGGUUCCACGGCUCAUAUGAGAGGCCAUACGCCGUGAUUCCAAAAUUGUUUGGAAUAAGACAUGGUCCGGACUUAAGGAAUGUCUGAGCGAAAUUCCUUGUCGGGUAAGUUCCGACGCGCACGAAUGGCGUAAUGACUGGAGAACUGUCUCGGGGAUCCGCUCGGUGAAAAUACAAUACCGGUGAAGAUGCCGGUUACCUGCAGAUAGACGAAAAGACCCCGGGAGCUUUACUGCAACUUGGUAUUGAGGAUAUGUUUUACAUGCGUAGCAUAGGUGGGAGACUUUGAAUCGCUGCUUUUGGGUGGCGUGGAGUCGUCAGUGAAAUACCACUCUUGUGUGAUGUAUUUUCUAACCCCGACGGAAAAAACGUCGAGAGACAUUAUCUGGUGGGCAGUUUUAGUGGGGCGCUAUCCUCCUAAAAAGUAACGGAGGAGUCCAUUAAGGUCAGCUAGGCGCGAAUGGAAACCGUGCCGAUAGUGUAUAGGCAUAAGCUGGCUUAACUGUAAGGCGUACAUGCCAAGCAGAUGCGAAAGCAGGGCUAAGUGAACCGACGGUCCGUAUUAGAUGCGGCCGGAGAUUAUCGGAUAAAAGCUACCCCGGGGAUAACAGGCUAGUUCCGCCUAAGCGUCCAUAGCGACGGCGGAGUUCGGCACCUCGAUGUCGGCUCAUCUUAUCCUGGGGGUGGAGAAGCUCCCAAGGGUUUGGCUGUUCGCCAAUUAAAAAGAUACGCGAGCUGGGUUCAGACCGUUUAUGCGCUGAAGCGCAUUGCGAUACGAAUAUACGAAUGUCAUACGGAUGACACGAAUAAUUCGGCGCAUGGACAGUCUGAAUCCACACAUAACAGACAUAAUCGAGUUUUUCGUUUAUAAACAAAAAUAAAUUAGAUAGAAACAACCAAAUCACGGCGGUCACAUAUAGAAAUAUAUGUGGACAAACUGACUAAUAUCGGUGAAAUCCUGUAUACGAGUGUCUUAACAAAUAGACGCACGAAUAGGACAACACCGAGGGAAGUGUGUUAAAAUUAACUAAUGGAAAAAUUACCAAGCGAAGAAAAAGAUUUAAUUACUCUUGAAGAUAUCAGAAAAUUUAUUGUGGAUUCUUCAGGAAACGUAGAGGUUGUUGAGGAGGGUAAAAAUCAAUUAGUUAUAAGGAAAGGGAAGAAGGUAAUAAGACUUUCAACUGAAGAGGAAUAAUUUAAACAUACCCGUAGAGACUAAACGUCAGUAUUCCGAUCCACUAGUUGGUGGAGGAAUAAGUUAUAGUCCAAUGCACUUAAUAAUAAGUGAUAUCAUGCGUGAGACAGGUUGGUCUCCUAUCUACUGCAGGCGUUGAUUCUUGAGGAGAGUCACUUCUAGUAAAAUUUGCUACUUCACAAAGUAAUUUGUGAUGACAAUGUGGCUAAUAACGGUGAAAUCUUAAUAACUUUUGGUCUGUUGAUAACCAUAAUGACAGUCGGUCCGUUGUUUAUGGUACAAUUUACUUGAGGACCAGAAAUAUUUAAGACAAUACCGUGGGAAGUCGAUCUAAAGUUGAGUUUGCCUAUAUAGCCGGAUUUCUUGAUGGCGAUGGUAGCUUGAUGCUUCAAAUAAAGAAGCGCAAAGAUGGCAGAAUAGGGUUGAGGUUUAUGCCAACUAUCUGUCUUUAUCAAGAUACUCGUCAUGAAAAACCGUUAUACUGGAUACGAAGAAAAUUGGGUAUAGGCUAUGUGUCAAGAAGAAAUGAUGGUAUGAGUGAAUUGAGAAUAAACGGCUAUGAACAAGUAGCUAACAUUCUUAAAAAAAUUCUUCCAUAUAUUCAUUUCAAGAAAGUUCAAGGCAAGGCGUUACUGUGCGCUUGCCAAAGCCUUUCUGGCAAAAAAUUUGUCAAGUUGUCAAAAAGUGAACUUAAGAAACUUGUUGAUCUUAUAUUGGUAAUUCAAAAUGAAAAUUAUGUUACCAAGAGAAAGAGAACAAGAAAAGAACUACUAACUCAUUUAGGUUUGACCCCGUAACGACUGAUUCCGUGAGGAAGAGACUUGUACAUAUCGGAAAGCUGUAAAAGGCAGGUAUGGACAGGUAAUACGCCACCCCCAAUACUUAACUAGCUUUAAGUAUUGGGUGAAGAUAUAGUCUGCGCUCCUGGUGACAGGGGAAGUACGUGACGAGAGGACCGAAGUGAACGAACCUCUGGUCUGAGAGCUGUUCCUGCCAAGGGCAUUGCUCUGUAGCUAAGUUCGGAAUGGAUAACCUCUGAAAGCAUCUAAGAGGGAAGCCAACUCCAAGAUUAGGAAUCAUUAAGGUUCGUGGAAGAUGACCACGUUGAUAGGCUCUAGGUGUACGUCCGGUAACGGAUUGAGCCGAGGAGUACUAAUUAACCGUUUUCCUUUAGGAA